CAAUGAAAAAGUCACCAGAUAUUUAUAUUGGCAAGAGUUAUGAAAGAAUGGAACACCUAUCCGGGGCAUUAACUUACGCUCUAACUGGCUCUGUGGAAGCUGCGACCUCCGCUUUCAUUAGAACGGAGAUUAUUUAAUGCAUUGUCAUCCGCCGAAGAGGAAUGCUGUAUAUCCAAAGGGAAAGAUGCUGUAAUCAUCUGUACAGAUUGUUUUCAGCCUCAAUGUAGGAUCAGUUUCUGAAAGUUAUGUUCGACCUGGAGAAGGUUCCGCUUCAUCCAGCUCUGCGCAAGGCAUUGUGGCAAAAGGACUGCCAUCGCGCAGAGUCCCGGAUGUGGCUCCCUUAUAUGGAAUUUGUAACCUGCAAGAUCCGACGCUGGAUGAAAACAAUAUUGUGAUGUAGUCAAAAUUGACUGGAAAUGAGUGGAAAUGGAUUGUAUUAGGGUUAAUAAUACUGUAGGAUCAAAAACAGGCCCAAAUUAUGUGAUUUUAGAUGUUUUUAUGAUUAAAAAAUAAAAUACAGAUCCAAAACUUGCAAGGGAGGUUUUGGCAAAACAAAUACAGAUCUAAAACAUGGAGGAGAUACAGGUCCAAAACAAGAACCCCAAACCCGAGAUUUGGGCCGGCGCACUUCCCUAAUUAAAAAUAGAAACACAUUAAGUAAACGUUUCCAUAUACAGGGACAUCAAGGCAGUACAAUUAGCCUAAGUGAAAAUAUCAGGAAAUCAUGACUCGCCAUGUGGUCGAUAUGGAGUCUUAUUCACAUUCUCUAUCAAGAACCCCCCAAACUCAACAGGAGGAACAUGAAACAACUAUUACUUGCCAAACAAUGAAGACCUAAGUUCGGAAGGAAGAGGAUGGCGGUGGAGGGAUUUAGGGGGUAAUUCAGAGUUGAUCGCAGCAGCAAAAUUGUUAGCAGUUUGGCAAAACCAUGGCCCUCAUUCCGAGUUGUUCGCUCGUUGCCGAUUUUCUCUAUAUUGCGAUUAGUCGCUUACUGCGCAUGGUUAUUUUACUAAAAAGUUAGGUAUUUUACUCACGGCAUAACGAGGAUUUUUCAUCGUUCUGGUGAUCGGAGUGUGAUUGACAGGAAGUGGGUGUUUCUGGGCGGAAACUGGACGUUUUCUGGGCGUGUGCGAAAAAACGCAGCCGUUUCUGGGAAAAACGCGGGAGUGGCUGGAGAAACGGGGGAGUGUCUGGGCGAACGCUGGGCGUUUUUGUGACGUCAAACCAAGAACGAAACUGACUGAACUGAUCGCAGUGUAGGAGUAAGUCUCGAGCUACUCAGAAACUGCAAAGAAAUUUCUUUUCGCAAUUCUGCGAAUCUUUCGUUCGCAAUUCUGCUAUGCUAAGAUUCACUCCCAGUAGGCGACGGCUUAACGUGUGCAAAGCUGCUAAAAGCAGCUAGCGAGCGAACAACUCGGAAUGAGGGCCCAUGUGCACUGCAGGGAGAUGUAGAUAUAACAUGUGCAGAGAGAGUUAAAUUUGGGUGGGUUAUUUUAUUUCUGUGCAGGGUAAAUACUGGCUGCUUUAUUUUUACACUGCAAUUUAGAUUUCAGUUUGAACACACCCCACCCAAAUCUAACUCUCUCUGCACAUGUUACAUCUGCCCCACCCGCAGUGCACAUGGUUUUGCCCAACUGCUAACAAAUUUGCUGGUGCGAUCAACUCUGAAUUAGGCCCUUAGCUCCUAAGCAAGGGACAUCUAGGAGGCAUACACAUUCUGCAGCAAAUAUAUAAAUUGGAAAGAUUGUAAAAGUUAGAAUAAACCAUUUAAAACGU